AGGCAAACGGGAGAUGGAGACGGAGAGACAUCUUUUUUUUAUGUUUAAUCUACAACCGGGAGGUAGGUUAAUUGGGGGACCCAUCCAAGAUUGGAGCUGAUGACAGUCCUCCUGGUUGAAGGGAGGAGUCAGCUGAGCGGAAGCGUUCUCUUGGCAAAGACUACCAUCCCCUUUGUCUGAAGUGCUACCACUGCAAACGGCAACUCAGCCCUGGCCAGCAUGCCAAGUAUGAUGAUAAACCCUAUUGUUCCCACUGUUACAUUCAACGCUUUGGACCAAGAGGGACAAGACCAUUAGCAAGUCACUCAUCCUUUGGUGCAUCCGCUUUAUCAAAGGUUUCAGGAACAACCCGAAAGGCCUCUUAGAUGUCCUGUUACACUGAUGAGGUGGCAGUUCGUGCAACAAGAAGCAAGAUCUGCAUUUUCAGAAUUUUCAGUCAUUGGAGAACGUUGCUUGAACAUGAUGAUGUAACGUUACAAGUUGAGACAGCAUCCCGCAGGAAGUUACCCCUCCUGUUGAUUAAAGCGGUACCUGCAAUAUAUAUAUUUUAACCAGCUGUAACAAGGCUCGAGCAGGGGGUUCAAUAUUUUCUAGAGAAUGGAGAAUAUUCCCAACUGAACUUUGAUGAAGGGAAGUGCCCGUCUGGUAUGUGAGAGCAGUUUAACCAUAAAAUAUUGAUGAACAACCGAGUUCCAGUUUAGAUAUUUACUUUUGUUGUUUUCUAAUGUGAUUAAUGGAAUGUGCACAGUAAGUUACAGAGAGAGGUGGGAUCCAGAAGAUUCUCACAGGUUCCUGAGAGUAGGUUACUAAUUAUUUGUGUGUGCCGAGAGGGGGUUACUAAUUGGUGAUUUUGC